GCGGUGAACAGGACAGUGCUGGCCGGAGCCCUUUCUCCCUCAGAGGAUAGCUUGGGGUAACAGGAGAUCAAGGCAUACAGUGGAGUCUUCUCAGGGAAGAUGUCGUCUUUGACAAUGAGAACUCGUUGUGUGGACAAAAGAGGAAGUUUCUUUAAGCUCAUUGACACAAUUGCCUCAGAAAUCGGAGAACUGAAACAGGAGAUGGUACAGACAGAUCUCACAGUGGAAGAUGAAUCUGCUGAUUGGCAAAGUCUAAUAAAGGAUAUGGAUGAUGUCUCUCCUGAGAAAAAUGAUGUAAAAAGCUGCCCCCGGGACUCUGGAUAUGACAGCCUAUCCAACAAGCUAAGCAUAUUGGACAAGCUCCUCCAUACUCACCCUGUGUGGCUGCAGCUUGGUCUGAACGAUGCUGAAGCCAUGGAAAUUUUGCGGACACAGCCUCCUGGGAUAUUUCUGGUUAGGAAAUCUGCAAGGCUGCAGAAGAAAGUCAUCUCUCUGCGUCUGUCCAGCGACUGUGGGUCCUGCCUGAAAGAAUUUGCCAUUAAAGAAAGUACAUACACGUUUUCCUUGGAGGGGUCUGGAAUAAGUUUUGCUGAUUUGUUCAGACUCAUUGCUUUCUACUGUAUUAGCAGGGAUGUCCUUCCAUUCACACUGAAGUUGCCUCAUGCAAUUGCUGCAGCAAAGACAGAAGCUGAACUUGAAGAGAUUGCUCAGCUUGGACUGAACUUUUGGAGCUCCCUGGCUAACAGCAAACCCCCGGAUCCUUCACCUCCCUGUAGGCCUGUGCCUUUGGACCGUGCUCGCAAAGACUCACGCCAGCUCUGCCUUAUAAAUGGAGUGCAUUCUAUACGAACCAGAACGCCUUCAGAGCUGGAGUGCAGCCAGACCAACGGAGCGCUGUGUUUCAUUAAUCCCCUCUUCUUAAAAGUGCACAGCCAGGAUGUCAGUGGAAGUCUGAAAAGGCAGAGCCCGAGAACUCCAGACGUGAAUGGCACAGCGAGGCCUCGCUCCCCCCCGCCCCGGCCACCACCUCCUGCUAUUAAUAGCACCCUCACGAGCCCACAGAUUUCCAGGACUAUAAAGCAGGCGAGCAUGCCAGAAACAGUCAGCCAUAAGAAGGAGAGGGGCUUGGAUUUGCUGCAGAACAAGCCCACCCCGAUUCCGCCUCCUCGGCUGAAGAAGCAGGCUGCGUGCUCCGAGGCAGACAGUGCCUCCAGGAGCGCGGCAGCGCUCCGGCCUGACUCCGUGUGCGUGCCCGAGGCAGCCGCGGUGCCGCGUGAAGCCCUGCCCGAGCCGGCUCCAGCAGCUCCCAAAAAGACUCCGGCUGCCAUCUCUGAGUCACACAUCCCGUGGAAUGGAGGCAGGCAGAGACUGAGCGACAUGAGCAUUUCCACCUCCUCCUCUGACUCUCUGGACUUCGAUCGGAGCAUGCCGCUCUUCGGCUAUGAGGGGGACACCAACAGCAGCCUGGAGGACUUUGAGGGGGAAAGUGACCAGGAGAGCAUGGCACCCCCUUUGAAGCCCAAGAAGAAAAGAAGCAGUUCGUUUGUUCUCCCCAAGAUUGUGAAAUCUCAGCUACGGAAAGUCAGUGGAGUUUUCAGUUCCUUCAUGACCCCUGAGAAGAGGAUGAUUAAGAAAAUUGCAGAGAUGUCCCGGGAUAAACGCACCUAUUUUGGAUGCUUGGUACAGGACUAUGUCAGCUUUCUCCAAGAAAACAAGGAGUGCCACGUUUCGAGCACUGAUAUGCUGCAAACAGUUCGUCAGUUCAUGACCCAAGUCAAGAACUACUUGUCCCAAAGCUCCGAACUUGAUCCCCCAAUCGAAUCACUGAUUCCUGAAGACCAAAUAGAUGUUGUGCUGGAGAAGGCCAUGCAUAAGUGCAUUCUGAAGCCGCUGAAGGGUCACAUUGAAGCGAUGUUGAAAGAGUUUCAUACCACAGAUGGUUCCUGGAAACAACUGAAGGAAAACCUGCAGCUGGUGCGGCAGAGGAAUCCUCAGGAACUGGGCGUGUUUGUCCCAACACCAGACUUUGUGGACGUUGAAAAGAUUAAAGUCAAGUUCAUGACUAUGCAGAAGAUGUAUUCACCUGAAAAGAAAGUCAUGCUGCUGCUGAGAGUUUGCAAAUUGAUUUACACUGUCAUGGAGAAUAACUCAGGGAGGCUGUAUGGAGCUGAUGACUUCUUGCCUGUGUUGACGUAUGUGCUCGCCCAGUGUGAUAUGCUGGAGCUGGAUACCGAAAUCGAAUACAUGAUGGAGUUGUUGGAUCCAUCCUUGCUGCAUGGAGAAGGGGGCUAUUACUUGACAAGCGCUUAUGGAGCACUUUCACUGAUCAAGAACUUCCAGGAAGAACAAGCUGCCCAGCUGCUCAGUUCAGAGGCCAGAGACACUCUCCGGCAGUGGCACAAGAGGAGGACAACAAACAGGACAAUACCUUCAGUUGAUGAUUUUCAGAUUGCUGAGCACUGGGGAGAAUAUUUGGGAUAAAGAAAUGAAAGGCACAAGGGAAGCUCUACACUCCCGAGGGAAUGUUUAGCCACGUGCAGCUUCUGACCUCACCAAUAAUCCCAGCUGCCACAGAAACCUUCUGAAGCUGGGACAGGGAAGACAAUUCCAAGAGCUGUGGGAAGUGCUUUCUCCCAGGACUGGAUGGCACUGAGGUUGGAAUGAGUUCCAGAUCAUCCUUGUGCCUCUCCUGUUGCCAUCCAGGACUAAGUCCAUGUUCUCUGAGUGUGGAGGGAAGAAGCCUGUGCUGGAGAAUGGGAGAAAAGUCCCACAGCUGGUUGCUGUGUCCUCUGUGGGCACAGAACUCUGGCCAGAUGGGUUGGACAGGGAGAACCACUGAACUUGUCCUGGCCUUGCCCAGAGCUUUGGUGUUUGGGCUGCCAAACCCAAACUGGUCCUGCCCUGGUAGGUCACAGGUUCCUCUCCUCUCCUCUCUGCUGUGACAGGCUCUGUAAGGAAUGCCAUUUCCAGCAGCCUGGUUUGCUGGAAAAGGGGAAGGAAUAGGAAAUAUGGUGCCAGAGCUGUGUUCCACCAGGUUUUGUUUCCUUCCCUCUGAGGACAGAGAGUCUCUGGGCUGAGAUGCUGGAACUGCCUUUCUGGAUGUGUGCUGAGCUAUCGCUGCUGUGGACUGUGUGGCCUUAAUUGCUGCAGGGUUCUGUUUUUCUCACUGGGGAAUUGGAAAUAUUUAUUAAUUAGAAGGCAGAGAUGUUUUUGGAAACCUCUCCCUUUUUUCUGCCUUUUAGUGGUAGAUCUUCUCUUUCUGCCUCUGAAUUUACAGUGAUUCUCAGACGUCAUUUCACCUGCCCAACUCCUCGUAGCUCAGGGGGGUGCAGGGAAGGUGCUAAUCUUUUGCCAUAUGUGUAGAUAUGUAACCACUUAGCAGAUAAUCUCAGAUUCUGUAAAGACAGCCUUUCAUUUUAAAACCAAACUCCUGCUGCUGGGAAGCUGUGAUCAGUUUAUAAUUUAGCUUUAUCUCAGAGAUACCAGAUUUGUGUGAAUCAGAAUAGCCCCAACUUCCUUGCAACCCAGAGCAUCAGUGUCAUCUGACUGAGCUUCUCUGCCACUGCCACCACAGGGUGACUGUCCUCCAGUGCAUCAGUAAGGCAGUGGAAGGUGAAAUGACAGAAAUGGAUCUGCCUCUCAUUAGUGGGAUGAAUAGAAGUGUUCUGGGGAGAAGGAUGGAUGAGGGGGUGAGGAGAUGUGUUAAGAACUGGUUUAAAGAGGGAUAAGAGGAGGAUGCUAAUUCUUUUUUGUCAGAUAGUUUGGAAUAAGCUUUGGAGGACUUUUGGAUGAUGGUGUCUCAAGUGAACAGUGUCACGUGCACUCCGAGUACAAACACUGCUCAAUAAAACGAGCUUGGGGAAAAGUUC